AUUGAACGCUGGCGGCAGGCUUAACACAUGCAAGUCGAGCGAGCGGCGGACGGGUGAGUAAUGUCUGGGAAACUGCCCGAUGGCGGGGGAUAACUACUGGAAACGGUAGCUAAUACCGCAUACCAUCAGAUGUGCCCAGAUGGGAUUAGCUAGUAGGUGGGGUAAGGGCUCACCAAGGCGACGAUCCCUAGCUGGUCUGAGAGGAUGACCAGCCACACUGGAACUGAGACACGGUCCAGACUCCGACGGGAGGCAGCAGUGGGGAAUAUUGCACAAUGGGGGCAAGCCUGAUGCAGCCAUGCCGCGUGUGUGAAGAAGGCCUUCGGGUUGUAAAGCACUUUCAGCGAGGAGGCGGUACUCGCAGAAGAAGCACCGGCUAACUCCGUGCCAGCAGCCGCGGUAAUAC
rnacentral:rRNA from 1 species